UGUUAAGUUUAUAUUAUACUUAUUCUUACUGAACAGUGUCUGGGCUGCAUGACAGAUUCGGACUUCUUCGUUGUUGCUACAAUAUGGACUUGAAAACGGCCUUGUUAAAUCUUGGGCUCCGCAUGAAAGUUGUAGGACUAUGUCUUACCUUUCCAUC
rnacentral:pre_miRNA from 1 species